UACACAUCAUGUCAAGGCUCUGAGCUUUUUGUGCUGCUGAGUUUUUCGGCUGGUUUCAUGGGAAAAUGCGUCAAGUCGAAGCUGAAGAAUUGCUGAACAAACAGAGAGUGGAUGGAGCUUUCGUCAUCAGAGACAGUGAGAGCACUCCAGGGGACUUCACCCUCUCUGUCAAUGCCACAUCGCAAAACUAAUUCCAUAGAGGCCUGAAUUUGGAUAUAUUAGGUAUAAUGGUUUGGACGUGCCCGUGAAAAACAAUUCAAUUGAUGCCAAUACCGUACUCCCUAUACUGUUAUCACUUAUACUGAUUAAACUGUUAUUGUAUUCUGAAAAUAACAUGAUUAAUUGUGUUCUAAAUGGAUAAGGGGAUAACACUUGUUAUCCCUGUUCUGUAAGACAAAAAAGCAGAAUUAGACAAACGCAAUGAGCAAAGUGAAGAAUACAUUUUCAGCUUAUCUUCAAAAGAAAAUAACAUCUACGCCUCAGAAUGAUAAAGGAGAGAAUGCUGUCCAUUCGUGGAUGAGAUCCUGAAUGCUUUUUUUCUGUCUCUCACCCAAAGCUGAGUGAGAGACAGACAAAAAAGAAAAUAAUGAAAAGAUUUUUUUUUUCAAAACAGUCUUUUAAUCUGUUUUGGUUCUGCAGCUUCAGCCCUACAGACAUCACUUUCUAAAAUCCAAUCUAAUUUCCAAGUCCAGUUUGAAGAAAAGAGGCUUUUUAAAUGCAUAAAAAUCAGGCCUGCCCCACUUUAACAAAGCCAUCAAGUCAGCCUGCUGCUAGUUAAGCUUUCAGUCAAAAAUGUGAUUAAGUUUGGGAGUUUGAGGGAGCACUGCAUCUCUACCCAGUCCAAACAGAAACAUUAGAUAUAUAACUGUCAUCAGUUACUUUAAUAGAUUGGACAUACAAUUUUUUGGUUUAUUUGUUCAUCUUGGGUUUUUCCAUGGUAUUUUUUCUAUGGUGCAUUGGGGUGGAACAUUUAAUUGGCAGCCACUUCCUGCGGGAUAUAAUUUUGUGACCACUCAUGUAAGGAAAUCUUCAUUGUAACGUUGUUAAAAGAGUUUAUUGUGAAGUGAAGUAAAGGCAUUAUUGUAAGCU